rnacentral:rRNA from 1 species
UUCCAGACUCCUACGGGAGGCAGCAGUGGGGAAUAUUGCACAAUGGGGGAAACCCUGAUGCAGCGACGCCGCGUGAGUGAAGAAGUAAUUCGUUAUGUAAAGCUCUAUCAGCAGGGAAGAAAAUGACGGUACCUGAGUAAGAAGCCCCGGCUAACUACGUGCCAGCAGCCGCGGUAAUACGUAGGGGGCAAGCGUUAUCCGGAUUUACUGGGUGUAAAGGGAGCGUAGACGGCAGGGCAAGUCUGGAGUGAAAGGCAGGGGCCCAACCCCUGGACUGCUCUGGAAACUGUCCGGCUGGAGUGCAGGAGAGGUAAGUGGAAUUCCUAGUGUAGCGGUGAAAUGCGUAGAUAUUAGGAGGAACACCAGUGGCGAAGGCGGCUUACUGGACUGUAACUGACGUUGAGGCUCGAAAGCGUGGGGAGCAAACAGGAUUAGAUACCCGAGUA